rnacentral:tRNA from 1 species
GCGAGGCGCGAUGGCGCCGGCAGGCCCUCCAAGCCAGGCACGAAGGGUUCGAAUCCCUUGCUUCGCUCCA